rnacentral:misc_RNA from 1 species
GAUGAAGAACGCAGCGAAAUGCGAUACUUGGUGUGAAUUGCAGAAUCCCGUGAACCAUCGAGUCUUUGAACGCAAGUUGCGCCCGAAGCCAUUAGGCCGAGGGCACGCCUGCCUGGGCGUCACACGUCGUUGCCCCCCCAUCUACUCCUUCGGGAUUGCGGGGGCGGAUGAUGGCCUCCCGUGCGCCUCGUCGCGCGGUUGGCAUAAAUGCCAAGUCCUCGGCGACGCACGCCACGACAAUCGGUGGUUGCGAAACCUCGGUUGCCCGUCGUGUGCGGUCGUCGCGCAUCGAGGGCUCGAAAAAAUUGCCGGGCUCCGGCUCGGCUUUCAACGCGACCCCAGGUCAGGCGGGGUUACCCGCUGAAUUUAAGCAUAUCAAUAAGGGAGA